CGGGGAGUGGCGCAGCUUGGUAGCGCGCCUGGUUUGGGACCAGGAGGCCGGGGGUUCGAGUCCCCCCUCCCCGA
rnacentral:tRNA from 1 species